AUUCAAAAAAAUAUUAGGAAUUGAUCGCCAACUGAAAACAACAUAAUCCAACUUCUUUCAGAAACAAAUUACCACACAACUCUCAAUUUAUAUAAUUGACUUAUUUUAGGUAACAACAAAGGUUCCAAAUGAACAUAAAUCACAAUUACAAUUAAAACAAUAAUCAAAUUUCUUGAAACAUCUGAUUUAAUCAGCAUCAUUAGCACUAUUAGUCCACCUUCCUGCAAUUUACCCGAGUCUGACCAUAUUUCCCUAUCAAUGACUUGAUAUUACCCAUCUUAAUCAUAGAUGUAGCAAAAUCUUUAGAGAAACUCCUUAAGUUUUUACUAAUGUUUUAACAAGAUCAUCAGUUUUUCCACCACUAAAUAGUACCAAACCUGAAGCACCCAAUAUGGAUCUAAUCAAAAGCAAAAUCUAACAAAAUAGUGUUUUAGUGAACAAAGACUUUUCAACUAAUUCUUUAUCAAGAUGUUCUCUUAAAGGGCAACUCUAAAAUAAAUUCAGAGAAUCAACAAGAAAGUUCUACUUAAUGUUAAAUGAAUGAAUUCGUAAAGAAAUAAAUUAUCUAACCAAACAAUUUAUACUCCAAACUUGACUUAUCCUUAAACGACUCAUUUUGAAGCUCGAUUCACAAUUAAUUAGAUAAAAUAGAAAGGGACACAAAUAGACUUGUUAAGCAAAAUGUUCUUUAACAACAAUUGAAAAAUCAGCAACUACAUUUAAUAGAAAGGGACACAAAUAGACUUGUUAAGCAAAAUGUUCUUUAACAGCAAUUGAAAAAUCAGCAACUACACAGAUUUUGACUCCAAAAUUCAAGUAUGGAAAAAAUGACUAAUUGAACUCGGAACCGUGAACGUCAUCCUCGAACAGUCACAUCCGAACCAGCAAAACACCAACCAAACUCAAGCAAGAUCCGUGAAUGAAGAUCAACAGGGCAGAAACUAAUAUAUAUAUAUAUAUAUAUAUAUAUAUAUAUAUUCUUCUCAAAAGUACUUCUCAAAACAACGAAACCAAUGAAGAUCAACAAGGCGUACAAUUGUAAUCAACAGUGAAACUAAUGAAGAUCAACAGGGCCAACAACUGUAAUUUCUUUUCUGAAAUUCGAAACACGAACAGAAAAUCGAAGAAGAAAACUCAAGAGCAGAGAACAAUUUUGCCCUUAAAACCCUAGCUUUUCAGUCACUUUUUCUGUUUGAAAUUAAAAAUUGAAUUUGAAAAGCCAUGGUUUAGAAUUGAGAUUUCAUCUAAACUAAAAUUAACAUAAAAAGGGUACAAUUUCGAACCUUACCUGAGAAGAACUCGAAGAGAAGAAACUCGAAGUUGAGUAGUUAUCAAUGGAAGUGAUCAAAAUAAGCGUUCACAGGCGCAAGAUCGGAGUUGGGGAUGAGUUUAGGGUUUUCUCUUUUUUUUUUGGGGGGUUAGUUGGCGACACAGACGUGGGUUUGGGAAAAAACGAGUGAAAUAUUAGCGCCAAUUUUUAUUAAUUAGCGCCAAUUUUUAUUAAUUAAUUUUUUAACAAUAGGCUAUGUUAUAUUUUAAGGGCCAAAU
rnacentral:lncRNA from 1 species